CCUACGGGUGGCAGCAGUGAGGAAUAUUGGUCAAUGGACGGAAGUCUGAACCAGCCAUGCCGCGUGCAGGAAGACGGCUCUAUGAGUUGUAAACUGCUUUUGUACAAGGGUAAACCUGAAACCGUGUAUUCAGCUGAAAGUACUGUACGAUUAAGGAUCGGCUAACUCCGUGCCAGCAGCGGCGGUAAUACGGAGGAUCCAAGCGUGAUCCGGAUUUUUUGGGUUUAAAGGGUGGGUAGGCGGAUUGAUAAGUUAGAGGUGAAAUGUCCGAGCUUAACUCGGGAACUGCCUCUAAUACUGUUGAGCUAGAGAGUAGAUGCGGUAGGCGGAAUGUAUGGUGUAGCGGUGAAAUGCUUAGAGAUCAUACAGAACACCGAUUGCGAAGGCAGCUUACCAAUCUAUAUCUGACGUUGAGGCACGAAAGCGUGGGGAGCAAACAGGAUUAGAUACCCCAGUAGUC
rnacentral:rRNA from 1 species